CAGGCGUGGAUGGAGGCCGCGUCGCACACAUCCAGCUGCUUGAUCUCCAGCGUUUGGCCCAGCUCCUCCCCCGCCGCCUCCUCCAGAGCAUGUACAGUAUGUGGCUCCUGCGUGGUGACAAUGAAGACUUGGGCCUGUCUCCUUCAUGCGUGAGAAUCUGAAAGGAAGUGGUAAUGGGGGUUUUUAACAACUGAAGCCCCCGGCCCAGGAAGAGGAACACCCAGGCAGAGGUUAAUACACUGCUGCUGUAGCACUGCUAUGAUAGAUUUCAUUCUUAGGUUGGAAUUAUUUAUCAUGUGCACCCUACUUUUUCACAUAAAGGGAUACUCAUGCUACAUUGCUUGCUGCAGGCUAUGAACCUCUUGCGAGUUCCCCCUUCGUGCACCAGAUCAGGAAACAUGAAGAAGGCACAGGCUGGAUCGGGAACUGGAUCAGACCUUGCUCAUCCUUCCUCCCUGGGAGCUCUGCCUGUUUGCGCAGGACUGCGUGGAGAUAUGCCGUCUCGGGCUUCACUACACCACCCGGACCAGCAAGGGGACCUUGGCGGAGAAGACCCACCCUGCAGCGUCUCCGGCUGGGAAAUUGACUGGAUUACAGAAGCAAUAAUCCAGAAGCAAAUCCCAUAAUGGAAUUGUGAGAAACUGUCAGCAUUCAUUAACCAAGGGGUCUGCAGGUCAGCUUUGCCCUAAUCUAGUGGGGCCGCAGCUUUGGGCUCUCGCUGCGACAGCGGUGCCAGUGCCCAAGCUGGUCAAAGAAGAGUGGCACCAGCCCGUGCUGCAGAUCUGUAUGCACCCUCUGUGCCCACCUGUGCUUUCUGUCCAAGAAGUAGGCAUAGGUGCUACUCAACUUCAAACCCAACCACUCACCCUUUUUGGAUUUCUUCAACAAACGUGGGAGGAAAGGUCUGCGGAUCAAGAGGAACAGACUCAGUUUAAAGGUUUGGAUUUGGCCUUCAUAGUGACCCAUAGACCCAGAGGCCGGUUACAUAACUCAAAGCCCUUUGUCUCUUGCUGUUUAUAUCAGGCAGUUCCUUGAACUGGGAUACAUCCAUAACCGCAGGGGCUGAGCCAAAGCUGUUUAAAGCGAUCAAGCCCUUUAUUUCUUGACACGAAUUACUGUACAGGAUGAGAGCAAAGCUGCUCCUUCACAUCCUGACAACAAAAGAGAGAAAGGUUCCCGUUGAAACCCGCAUGAGAUAGAUAAAGGAUUAAAUAAAAAGGUUACCGACUACAGGAGUUGUGCUUGGAAGCCUGGAACAUCUUGGACCGGCCCCCUGCUGGCCAAAACGAGUAACAGAGAGUGAUGCUGAAGGCUGGUGGCACCAGGACAUUAAACAUUGCACAGCUGGGUCUCUGUCCCUCUGUCCCCCAUACAUGUGGCUGUUUGUGCAAUUUGUAGCGGAGUAGUUUAUCAUCUGCAGGACCAGAUAGGCACUUACAGAAAUGAAACAGAUGCUUUUGAGCAGCUGGAGUGCAGCUGAAUUAAUACAAACUAGAAAAACAUUCAAUGUUUUAUUUAACUCAAAUACCAAUGUGUCACUUUAAGUAACAUUCAUUUGAACAUAUUCCAAAAGAUCUUGCAUGCAAGCAAAAACACUUGGUACUUUCUUCUAUAAUGGGAAGUAAACUCCCUUCAUAGAAAAAUCAUCCAGUAAGAAGAUUCACUACUGAGGAGUCGGGCAUAAGCUGCUUUGUCUUAACCUCUGGCUGUGAGCCAGCGACGGGACCACAGGACCCCCAGGCAGGGGGGAGAGAACCGAUUAACGGAGGUGGUGGGGGGUUGAGGGGGGGUCUGUGCAGGCAAGAGAAGUGUCCGAUGGUAUGGGCUUGCUCUUGGUGGGGGGCAUCCCUCACAAACCAGUAAACAGCCCAGGGGCCUGGGUGACCGAUACACUUGGAAAGAAAAGGUAUCCUGAACAUUUGUGCACCUCUAUAAAAAUAUUUGAGUAUUUAUUCAUGUUU